rnacentral:rRNA from 1 species
CCUACGGGAGGCAGCAGUGGGGAAUAUUGGGCAAUGGACGCAAGUCUGACCCAGCAACGCCGCGUGAAGGAAGAAGGCUUUCGGGUUGUAAACUUCUUUUAAGGGGGAAGAGCAGAAGACGGUACCCCUUGAAUAAGCCACGGCUAACUACGUGCCAGCAGCCGCGUGAAUACGGAGGUGGCAGGCGUUGUCCGGAUUUAGUGGGUGUAAAGGGCGUGCAGCCGGGGAGAAAAGUCAGAUGUGAAAUCCUCGGGCUCAACCCGUGAACUGCAGUUGAUACUGUUUCCCUUGAGUGUAGGAGAGGUAGUCGGAAUUCCUUGUGUAGCGGUGAAAUGCGUAGAUAUAAGGAAGAACACCAGUGGCGAAGGCGGAUUACUGGACGAUAACUGACGGUGAGGCGCGAAAGCGUGGGGAGCAAACAGGAUUAGAUACCCUUGUAGUC